rnacentral:rRNA from 1 species
AGUAGUUUGAUCAUGGCUCAGGAUGAACGCUGGCGGCGUGCUUAACACAUGCAAGUCGAACGAGGAAUGCUGAUGAAGUUUUCGGAUGGAUUCGGUAUUCCGAGUGGCGGACGGGUGAGUAACGCGUGGGUAACCUGCCCUGUACAGGGGGAUAACAGUUGGAAACGACUGUUAAUACCGCAUAAGACCACAGCACCGCAUGGUGCAGGGGUAAAAACUCCGGUGGUACAGGAUGGACCCGCGUCUGAUUAGCUAGUUGGUGAGGUAACGGCUCACCAAGGCGACGAUCAGUAGCCCGACCUGAGAGGGUGACCGGCCACAUUGGGACUGAGACACGGCCCAAACUCC